CCGUAUAGGGGAGCCGGAGGGAAACCGAGUCUUAACCGGGCGUUAAGUUGCAGGGUAUAGACCCGAAACCCGGUGAUCUAGCCAUGGGCAGGUUGAAGGUUGGGUAACACUAACUGGAGGACCGAACCGACUAAUGUUGAAAAAUUAGCGGAUGACCUGUGGCUGGGGGUGAAAGGCCAAUCAAACCGGGAGAUAGCUGGUUCUCCCCGAAAGCUAUUUAGGUAGCGCCUCGUGAAUUCAUCUCCGGGGGUAGAGCACUGUUUCGGCUAGGGGGCCAUCCCGGCUUACCAACCCGAUGCAAACUGCGAAUACCGGAGAAUGUUAUCACGGGAGACACACGGCGGGUGCUAACGUCCGUCGUGAAGAGGGAAACAACCCAGACCGCCAGCUAAGGUCCCAAAGUCAUGGUUAAGUGGGAAACGAUGUGGGAAGGCCCAGACAGCCAGGAUGUUGGCUUAGAAGCAGCCAUCAUUUAAAGAAAGCGUAAUAGCUCACUGGUCGAGUCGGCCUGCGCGGAAGAUGUAACGGGGCUAAACCAUG
rnacentral:rRNA from 1 species